CUUGUCAGGGGAUGAAAGGCGACUGGCUAAUGAUCGUAUAGAGACGGUCGGUCGUGCCGACACCCAUGAAAGCGAACACAUUCUCUAUCGGCGAGUGAGGCUUCUCCCACCCUACUCUCGGUGGGGCUUCGUUCGCCAAUUUUUGGAAGGGCCCCUCUCUAAAGGGGCCCCUCACCAGUUCAAGAAUACCAACCGUUUCCAAACUCUUUGUAAACUAAUUAAAUGUUUCUUUCGUCUAAUCAGUUUGGUAUGAAGCAUCAAUAAUAUUCUUUAAUAUUUAAACUUAUAAACAAACCAUUUACAGCAUGAGAUCCAAAGUUCAAUUAAAUUCUGAUUUGGUUGUAUUUAAACUGGUUCGGGUCGGACUUGGAACGAUAGCAGUAGCCGGGUAUGGGUUUUAAUGCUCCGAUACCCAUUACCCGUACGAUGGUGGCACAUUAGUCUUUUUCGCUAGGGUGGAUUUAAGACACCCUCUGCUUCCUCUUCUCCAGCGUUUCGCCGCCGCCUCUUCCCUCUGUCCCAGUUGCUUACGCCUUCUUCUCCCGUCGCCUGCAACGCCCUCUCCUCCUCUUCUUCUAUUAUCUGCUGCCUCCUUUCUCCACAUUCGAGCGGGCCGGUCUUGCCGUCGUCGUCCCCUGCGAUUCCAUGGUGGUGCCCAGCUGCCCUACUUGACCGCUUUCCCCUUCUCUGCUACAAUAUCUAUUUUCCGGCUUAACAUCAAACUUUCCUGCCGAUUUCUUAGUCUGCUGAUUUGUUGAGGAAAUAUAACUAGGUUUAAAAAUACGAUACUAUCGUGUAGCAUUGAAGUAAUUGAAUUAUAUGGUUUAGCAAGGGAGAGGUUGAGUUUGAGCCAACCUACUUUUAUUGAUUCAACCAUAGUAACAAAUGUUUAGUGAGUUAAACUUUGAUUUCCCUUAAAAUUUCGAGUUUCAACCAAUCUAGUGUUGACAUGAUCAAACCCAUUCCAAACACUUUACAUCAUUAUUUUCUGCGAUUAUUAAGCAGAACAGGUAGCCAGAGUUCAAACUUUCGAGUUAUUUUAAGCUGGUUUUGGCUGAUUAGUCCUUAAGCUCGAGUUCAACUGGAAGUCCCUGCGAGGGAGACGGCAUGGGAUCCCUGGAGAAGCCAUUCUCCUCGCAGCACAAUCUCCAGUUGAAUCUUGUGGCCACAUAAUGCAUCAUCACCAGUGUCUCCAUCCUUGCAAACUCAUUGCCGGGGCACAUCCUUGGCCCUCCACCAAAUGCCACAAAAGAGCAGGGAGGCACUGAUGACUGCUUCUCGAACCGCGUUGGAUCGAACUUAUUUGGAUCCUCAAAGAUAUGCUCGUCCAUCUGUGUGAUGCUUGAUGCCCAGAACACCUAAUCAUCACCCAGAAGUUGUAGCAGGAAAGGAAGAUGGAAAUGUGGAUCUUAUGUGAAGUAGUAGUAGCUCUCCUUACCAGCCACCCUUUCGGAAUGAGGUAACCUUCAUACUCGAUGUCUUUCAGCGCCCUUCUAAAGUUCCCAAAGAUCGGAGGAAUCAUUCUCAGAAUCUCCAUCGCUGCACACCAUGUGUGCUUCAUCUUGUUGAGAUCACUCCAUGUCAGGGCUUCUCCUGAGGCCUUCCCCUUUGCAAUCUCUUGUUGCUCUAUGAUCAUUGACACAAGGCAAAACCGGCAGGGGUCAUCAUAUAUACAUAGCAUGCAUCACAUCACGAUCGUUGAAGUUUAUUUGUUGCUUACCAUGGAUAACAAUCGUUCGGUUGACAGGAUCGUCGGCGAGGUGGCGGAUCAUGAAGGUGAUCAGAGCGGCAGAAGUAUCAUACCCGGCAAACAUGACGAGCAUUAGGUUGUCCAGAAUCUCC
rnacentral:lncRNA from 1 species